rnacentral:misc_RNA from 1 species
GAUGAAGAACGCAGCGAAAUGCGAUAAGUAAUGUGAAUUGCAGAAUUCAGUGAAUCAUCGAAUCUUUGAACGCACCUUGCGCUCUUUGGUAUUCCGAAGAGCAUGCCUGUUUGAGUGUCAUUAAAUUCUCAACCUCAUCAGUUUUCUGAAGAGGCUUGGAUUAUGGGGGUUUGUGCAGGCUGCCUCAGCGCGGUCUGCUCCCCUAAAAUGCAUUAGCGAGUUCAUACUGAGCUCCGUCUAUUGGUGUGAUAAUUAUCUACGCCGUGGAUUGGGUUUAGACUUGCUUCUAAUCGUCCGUAAGGACAACUCUUUGACAAUUUGCCCUCAAAUCAGGUAGGACUACCCGCUGAACUUAAGCAUAUCAAUAAGCGGAGGA